rnacentral:rRNA from 1 species
AUGCCCCUUAUGAUUUGGGCUACACACGUGCUACAAUGGACAAUACAAAGGGCAGCGAAACCGCGAGGUCAAGCAAAUCCCAUAAAGUUGUUCUCAGUUCGGAUUGUAGUCUGCAACUCGACUACAUGAAGCUGGAAUCGCUAGUAAUCGUAGAUCAGCAUGCUACGGUGAAUACGUUCCCGGGUCUUGUACACACCGCCCGUCACACCACGAGAGUUUGUAACACCCGAAGCCGGUGGAGUAACCUUUUAGGAGCUAGCCGUCGAAGGUGGGACAAAUGAUUGGGGUGAAGUCGUAACAAGGUAGCCGUAUCGGAAGGUGCGGCUGGAUCACCUCCUUUCUAAGGA